UACCAGCACCCCGAGUGGUCGGGGCGAUUAUUGGGCCUAAAGCCUCCGUAGCCGGUCCUGCAAGUCUUCCGUUAAAUCCAGCUGCUCAACAGAUGGGCUGCGGGGGAUACUACAGGGCUAGGAGGCGGGAGAGGCGAGCGGUACUUUAUGGGUAGGGGUAAAAUCCGUUGAUCCAUAGAAGACCACCAGUGGCGAAGGCGGCUUGCCAGAACGCGCUCGACGGUGAGGGAUGAAAGCUGGGGGAGCAAACCGG
rnacentral:rRNA from 1 species